rnacentral:lncRNA from 10 species
CUGAAAUAUCUCAAAGAGCUAGAGAAUAUUUCACCCCAAGAUGCAGAAUACUGAAAAUAGAAUAUGUUUCUGAGCUACCUUAUGGAAAGGAAAGAAGAUACUAAAAUUCUGGAAGAAAGCAGACCUGGCUGCUUGAUGUUUUAGGUUCCUGAAUUUCCUAGCAUAUUGGAGACGAUGAAUGCCGUUUGGAUCUCUUCCACGAAGAAGCUGGAGGUGUCGUGGAGAAGUGGAAUGGCUCACGCUUGUAAUCCCAGCACUUUGGGAGGCCAAGGCCGGAGGACUGCUUGAGCCCAGGAGUUUAUGACAAGCUGGGGCAACAGAGCAAGACCUUAUCUCUACAGAAAAUUUAAAAAUUAACAGGGUGUGGUGGUACAUGCCUGUAGCCCUAGCUACUUGGAAGGCUGAGGUGGGAGGGUCACUUCAGUCCAGGAGUUUGAGCCUGCGGUGAGCUGUGAUCAUGCCAUUGAACUCCAGCCUAGACAACAAAGGGAACCCCUGUCUUCAAAAAGGAGAAGAAAAAGAAAAACAAGAGAAAAGAGAAUGGCUGGUGUCAACCAAAUAAUUAAAUGGAGGCUCCAAAAUCAUAUGGACCAGAAGACAAUCUGCUUUACAAUCAGACGUGCUUCUGAAGACAAGAGGAUGAAGAGAAAGCAGUGGGGAAGGAGGGCCACCCCAUGAUCUGGGGCAGCUGAAUAAAGAAACCUCUGGGCCGGGCGCAGUGGCUCAUGCCUGUAAUCCCAGCACUUUGGGAGGCUGAGGCGGGUGGAUCACCUGAGGUCAGGAGUUCAAGACCAGCCUGGCCAACAUUGGGAAACCCCGUCUCUACUAAAAAUACAAAAGAUUAGCUGGGCAUGGCGGCGGGCGCCUGUAAUCCCAGCUACUUGGG